GCAAUCCGUCGUUGGCGUAGUCUGCCGAAAAUUUUAGAAGAAGAAGAAAAGAAGGAGAAUAGUAUUAACUAACGUGUUUUCCGGUUCUUUCUUUCGCUUGAGGAUCGCUAUGAAAGCGGGAGCUUGUUCUUCGUCUCUCUUUUAAGUGGAAUGGAAUCUCCUUGAAGCCUUCAGAGAACAUUCAUCUGGCCACCUUAAUGUUAUUGAUUGGUCAUGAGUUUGAUGGCGUCUUUGCGAUGAGUUUCUAUCUCACAUCUGCUACGAAAAGGAGAAAGCCCAACUUUGCUGUGGUGCUGGAUCAGCAAGUGUUCAUUUUGAGUAAGGCAAUAUUUUAGGAUAGUAUUGAAUAUUACAUUGGGUGAUACUGAUAUUUAACGUUUUUAGUGCAUUUGUUGUUUGUUCAAAAGUAGUGUUAUAACCAAGGGGCUUUUGACUUGGUUUACUGUUUUUGGAUGAAUUAAUGUUCUGCUAAAAAUAAAGAGCAAAGA